UGAGAAAAGCAGAAGCACCCGCUUCUCGCCUAGUGGACGUUUUAGUUCGCGGGCAUUGAAUAAUUGAUUUCAAAUUAUGAAAUAACGGUUUGCGGGUAGUUUUUGUUAACUACCCGCUUUUUCUGUAUUUU
rfam:Lactobacillus oeni DSM 19972 NODE_96, whole genome shotgun sequence.